GGGACACUGACACGAUGAAGAGGGCAAAACGGAGUGCAGUAUGGAGCCACUUUAAGUUGGUUAAUGACGACAAAGACGCCAAAUGCACAAUAUGUGGAAGUAUUUUAAAGUACAACAACUUAACGACUUUGUUGAAUUACCACCUAAAUGUGUCACAUUCAGAAGGAAAUUCAGCUUCUCAGAAGAAUUGCCGCUUAUCAAUUAAUCGAUCAUCGAUCGAUAAGAUGAAACAACUAUCGAUUAAUGAAUUACUCGAUAAUUUGCAUCCCUAGUUAUUACCCAUUAACUAAUAACUAACUAACCAGAAAUUGCUUACUGACUGAAAAAUUAAAUGGAUUGAUAAAUCAAUCUCUAUUCUUUCCCACAGAUGAAGGAGUGAUCAGUGUGCUCAAAGUGGCCUACGGACGGACUGACAGACAGACCUGCAGUGACGGCAGACCUCCAGCACAGCUGGCCAACACUGCAUGCUCUCAAAAAGGCGCUUUGGAAGCCCUUGCAAGCAGGUGUCUACCGGGUUUGGGGGCUUCCCCGAACGUACAGCUGCACUCUGUAACGUUGAACUAACCAUCACUCUCUUUGGGAAUGUGAUCCCUAGUGGAUAAGGAAUCCACUAUUCCAUUAGAAUGGAUAAUGGAAUAACAGGGUUUAGGUAGAGAACAGUGUGUUUUGGUUCCCAGACAGUGUUGUUUGCAUGCAGGUAUUUGUAGCUCUCAUCUUAUUAGUGACGCGUGUUAUGAUCUCAUCAUGUGAAGCUGUAACGGUAGGAAAGUCUGUGAAGUGGACAAAAGGAUCUUCGGCGGCGACCCCUGCUAUGGCACCUACAAAUACACCCAAACCACGUACACCUGCCUCACUGCAAGUGAGUCCUGUCACUCCGUGAAGUACUGAAACACUGGAACUCCAUGUAUAACAAGAUGAAGUGAUAAAGGUUAUUGGGGCUUUUUAUGGGCGCAACGACCGCACCACCUGCAUAUACGGUCGUCCUAACAAACAAAUUGAAAAAGUCACCUGCUCAAGUACAACUGCGACAUCAACGGUAGCUAAAAGCUGUGACGGUAAACGCCGUUGUACUGUCUAUGCUUUGAACUCAAAGUUUGGGGAUCCCUGUUAUGGGACCUUCAAGUACCUGGAACUGGCUUAUACGUGUGGAUGUUCCCACUGAGGAGAGCAGCAGGCCUACACUACCAACACCAACAUCUGGAGACGCAUGCCCCCCCCCCCCCUCCCUCCAGCUCUCCACCUGAUGAAUGAAUCUUGAUCUUGCUUUCUGCUUUUUUGCAUUAAAUGAUUAUUACAA
ensembl:lncRNA